UAGUCGCUAGGAUUAUAGACAUCCAUCACCAUGCCUGGCCCUUUUUUUCUUUUUUUUUCAAGAAUAAACAUUUUGAAAAUGGUUAAACUAUAGCAAUUAAAGAUGAAAUGAUGUUUGCUUUGUAGCAGCGCUUACAUUUCAGUUAUCAGUGAUCCGCUUUGUUAAGAUAAUUAUCUAGACAUCUGGUGACUUUGGGACAAAGUGUUUCCUUUCUCUGGACUACCAGACAUCCAGCAGUGUCGUCUCAAAGGUUCCUUCCAUCUUCCUUUGCAUCCCACAGUCCAGAGGCAGACUCUGUGUGUAGUGAGGGUGGGCGUGUGACGUGAUCUGGGUUCCCAGAGUUUGAGGUGCCUCGUGAGGAGCCAGGGAAUUGGAGUCUCCUAUUUCUCUUCUUGCUGCCUCACCUCCUCAUGGGAUGGUCUAUAGAGGCCAAGGCCUCAGAGGAUGAGAGUCCUGGUCAUAUUCAUGAGCACAGGGGAUGGUAAGAAGUGCCACUGGGUGGUAGGGAACACCCAACCUAUUUGGUCUGAGGCUCCUGAUAUAAAACAUACAGCGAUACAAACCCAGACCGGAAAAUGGAAAAGUCUGCUAGCGCCACAGUUCGCAGAAAAAGGAAAAAACAGCUUUGCUUUGCUUGGCCCCUUACUUCAAUAUCUUGUAGUGGGUUUUUUAUUUCUUGGAAACACCAGCUUUUCGUUGUUUGCUUUCGGUGCCUUCUCGUUAGCUAUUCCAGAGUUUUCCUCUGUCUCUACACCCGCUUCCGUGAACUUUACCCACAUUUUUUGUGAGUUCUUGUCCUUUAACACUCCAAGACAGAGAUAAUAAUGGUAAAUAUUUAGAUAGCACUUUUGAUGUGACAGUUUCUAUACAAGGGACUCCACCCCCUUCCAUGGGUUUUAACAAUUUUGUGUGUGUGUGUAUGUGUGAAUUCUAUUCCUUUAAUGCUCCAAAGACUGGUCUGAGAUAAUAGUAGCAAAUAUUGAUAUAGUUCUUUCAAUGUGCUGGUUUCUAUACCAAGUACUUCACACAUACCAACUUAUCUACUUACACUGAGCAAAUAAGGCAGCACUCUCCCCAUUUUACAGAUGUAUCUACUGAGCACAGCGAAGUUAAGUAACUUGUCCAAGGUUCUACAGUGGCAGAGCUGGGAUUGGAGCCCUGAAGUCUGGCUCCUGAGCUGCUCUUAUUCACUACAGCAUAUUGUCUUUUCAUCUUUAUUGAAAGAUGAUAAAAUGGAAGAACACAGAGAAAGCCAGCACUGCUUGGGAUUUGAGGCUGCACCUUCUCUCUCCUAAUCUCAGAAAUGCACAGCUGUGAUUUGUUAACACAGGAAAACUUGCGUAAGAUUUUGGCAGUGGUGUCUUGGGCUUUAUCUUCUUUGUGGUGGGCAUUGAACCUGGGACCUUGUGCAUGCUAGACGUGGGCUCUACCACUAAGCUACAAUCCCAGCCCUGCACAUGAACUUCAGAAUCUGCUUGUUCAGUUAAAAAAUUUCUGUUGGUAUUUUCAUUGGAAUAAUAUUAAAGUUUAGAUUAGCUCAUGGAGAAUUAGUAUCUUUAUUUUGUUAAAUCUUCCUGUCCAAGAUAAAGUAUGUCUUUCAUUUAUUUAAAUCUUUUCCUGUGUUCACUAAUAUUUUAAAUAUUUCUUCAUAUAUGUCUUCUGCUUAAGUUUUUUUCUGGUUAAGUUUUUUUCUAGGUGUUCAAUACUGUUUGAUGUCGGCAUAACUUUUAAUUCAUUGUUGUGUCCAUUAAGAGUAUAUUAAACUUCUU